AGAGUUUGAUCCUGGCUCAGGACGAACGCUGGCGGCGCGCCUAACACAUGCAAGUCGAACGAGCGAGAGAGAGCUUGCUUUCUCGAGCGAGUGGCGAACGGGUGAGUAACGCGUGAGGAACCUGCCUCAAAGAGGGGGACAACAGUUGGAAACGACUGCUAAUACCGCAUAAGCCCACGGCUCGGCAUCGACCAGAGGGAAAAGGAGCAAUCCGCUUUGAGAUGGCCUCGCGUCCGAUUAGCUAGUUGGUGAGGUAACGGCCCACCAAGGCGACGAUCGGUAGCCGGACUGAGAGGUUGAACGGCCACAUUGGGACUGAGACACGGCCCAGACUCCUACGGGAGGCAGCAGUGGGGAAUAUUGCACAAUGGGGGAAACCCUGAUGCAGCGACGCCGCGUGGAGGAAGAAGGUCUUCGGAUUGUAAACUCCUGUUGUUGAGGAAGAUAAUGACGGUACUCAACAAGGAAGUGACGGCUAACUACGUGCCAGCAGCCGCGGUAAAACGUAGGUCACAAGCGUUGUCCGGAAUUACUGGGUGUAAAGGGAGCGCAGGCGGGAAGACAAGUUGGAAGUGAAAUCUAUGGGCUCAACCCAUAAACUGCUUUCAAAACUGUUUUUCUUGAGUAGUGCAGAGGUAGGCGGAAUUCCCGGUGUAGCGGUGGAAUGCGUAGAUAUCGGGAGGAACACCAGUGGCGAAGGCGGCCUACUGGGCACCAACUGACGCUGAGGCUCGAAAGUGUGGGUAGCAAACAGGAUUAGAUACCCUGGUAGUCCACACCGUAAACGAUGAUUACUAGGUGUUGGAGGAUUGACCCCUUCAGUGCCGCAGUUAACACAAUAAGUAAUCCACCUGGGGAGUACGACCGCAAGGUUGAAACUCAAAGGAAUUGACGGGGGCCCGCACAAGCAGUGGAGUAUGUGGUUUAAUUCGACGCAACGCGAAGAACCUUACCAAGUCUUGACAUCCCUUGACAGGCAUAGAAAUAUGUUUUCUCUUCGGAGCAAGGAGACAGGUGGUGCAUGGUUGUCGUCAGCUCGUGUCGUGAGAUGUUGGGUUAAGUC
rnacentral:rRNA from 1 species